AAUAAUGGGAUUUUGGGGCAUUCCUUCAGCAGUCCUUUCACCUCACAUUCUCAGUUUUGUUUCCAAAAAAGAAAAAAGGAAUAGCCUGUCUACUCCAGAUGAAGCUAGACAGUCUUGUUUUUCCAGCAAAAAAUGCGGGAAGUUGUAACAGAGCAAGACAUCACUAGCAAAUUGGAAAAGGCCUCAGGAAAAUUUCAACAGGAACUCACCCAUGUACUAUUCAGGACUAUUGAAUAAUUUUUUUCACGAGGCCCACUGGAGUCUUUUAUCUUGGUCUGCCGACUUCUAUUGAGUCUGCUCAGCAGGAAGCAAUCGUUGGGCUCCAGUGCUGUCAAGCCAGCUCUGUGCAGAAUGCUGCCUCCACAGCUGACAUCUGCUGUGUCACUCUGAAACUUCUCCUCGAGAAACUGGGCAAAUGGACACUGGGUCGAAUAAACUCUGCAGUAUUUCACCACUCAUACUACACUUUCAUGACAUCUGCUGAAGUUUUGUAUCGCUUUAAAAUGAGGGCACCAAGUGAGGCUUCCUAA
rnacentral:lncRNA from 1 species